rnacentral:rRNA from 1 species
CCCUUAGAUGUUCUGGGCCGCACACGCGCUACACUGAAGGAGGCAGCGUGUACUCCUGGAUCGAAAGAUUUGGGUAACCCGCGAAUCUCCUUCGUGCUAGGGAUUGAGGUUUGCAAUUAUCCUUCAUGAACGAGGAAUUCCCAGUAAGUGCAAGUCAUAAGCUUGCGCUGACUACGUCCCUGCCCUUUGUACACACCGCCCGUCGCUACCACCGAUUGAAUGAUUUAGUGAGGACUUCGGACUGGGACCGAUGCGGCUUUCGGGCUGCGUCGGUAUUCUGGAAAGAUGUCCAAACUGUAUCAUUUAGAGGAAGUAAAAGUCGUANCA